rnacentral:lncRNA from 1 species
UGUUUUUCUUGUCUAAUCUGACAAAUUAAAAGAGAAAAACACUAUUUCCAGGCGGUCUAAACACUAUUAAAAAAAUAAAGCGAUGAUAUAGGAAAAGGCGAAAAAAUCGAAUUCUCAUUUAUAUAUCCCUAUCUCAGUCUGAGAAUUACAAGAAUAUGGGAAUAAAGUGAUGUUUUUCUUGUCUAAUCUGACAAAUUAAAAGAGAAAAACACUAUUUCCAGGCGAUCUAAACACUAUUAAAAAAAUAAAGCGAUGAUAUAGGAAAAGGUGAAAAAUCCAAUUCUCAUUUAUAUAUCCCUAUCUCAGUCUGAGAAUUACAAGAAUAUGGGAAUAAAGUGAUGUUUUUCUUGUCUAAUCUGACAAAUUAAAAGAGAAAAACACUAUUUCCAGGCGAUCUAAACACUAUUAAAAAAAUAAAGCGAUGAUAUAGGAAAAGGUGAAAAAAUCCAAUUCUCAUUUAUAUAUCCCUAUCUCAGUCUGAGAAUUACAAGAAUAUGGGAAUAAAGUGAUGUUUUUCUUGUCUAAUCUGACAAAUUAAAAGAGAAAAACACUAUUUCCAGGCGGUCUAAACACUAUUAAAAAAAUAAAGCGAUGAUAUAGGAAAAGGCGAAAAAAUCGAAUUCUCAUUUAUAUAUCCCUAUCUCAGUCUGAGAAUUACAAGAAUAUGGGAAUAAAGUGAUGUUUUUCUUGUCUAAUCUGACAAAUUAAAAGAGAAAAACACUAUUUCCAGGCGAUCUAAGCACUAUUAAAAAAAUAAAGCGAUG